rnacentral:siRNA from 1 species
AGUACACCGUAAUACACAUUC